rnacentral:tRNA from 1 species
GAUGCUGUAGUUCAGUGGCAGAAUACUUGCCUGGCACGUGUGAGGAACUGGGUUUGAUCCUCAGCACCACG